GUGGAUGUGAAGGUCUCUCUUGUACCCCCAGAGGCCACUUCAGAACCACAGAAGGUGGUGCUGAUUCUUAGCAGCUUAGUCCCGGUUAACUGGGUGAUUACAGCUCCCAAUGUCUGGGGUCACAUUUCUGUUCAUUCCUACAACAGUGUCUCUCUGCCAUUUCCACCAGAGCCUAACGUAACCAUGUCCAACACACUUGUAUCUGACCUGUCUACUUUCUCUGAUCCUCUUGUUUGGGCCACUGAGAGCGGCUACACACAUGUAAGGUCAUACACUGAGGCUGACCUGGCGAAUCGCUUUGUGAUCCAGCUGGCAGAAGGCGGGACAGGCCAAGAGAUAUUACCUGUGGUGAACUGCGAGGGCGGUCUCCUCAGCGUGACUGUGGACCUACAAAAACUAAA